UAAAGAUUCAUCGCUGAUAGAUAGGCAUGCGUUCCAUUAGGCAGUUGGCGGGGUAACGGCCCACCAAACCGACGAUGGAUAGGGGUUCUGAGAGGAAGGUCCCCCACAUUGGUACCGAGACACGGACCAAACUCCUACGGGAGGCAGCAGUGAGGAAUAUUGGUCAAUGGGCGUAAGCCUGAACCAGCCAAGUCGCGUGAGGGAUGAAGGUUCUAUGGAUCGUAAACCUCUUUUAUAAGGGAAUAAAGUGUGGGACGUGUCCUAUUUUGUAUGUACCUUAUGAAUAAGGAUCGGCUAACUCCGUGCCAGCAGCCGCGGUAAUACGGAGGAUCCGAGCGUUAUCCGGAUUUAUUGGGUUUAAAGGGUGCGUAGGCGGCCUUUUAAGUCAGCGGUGAAAGUCUGUGGCUCAACCAUAGAAUUGCCGUUGAAACUGGGGGGCUUGAGUAUGUUUGAGGCAGGCGGAAUGCGUGGUGUAGCGGUGAAAUGCUUAGAUAUCACGCAGAACCCCGAUUGCGAAGGCAGCCUGCCAAGCCAUGACUGACGCUGAUGCACGAAAGCGUGGGGAUCAAACAGGAUUAGAUACCCUGGUAGUCCACGCAGUAAACGAUGAUCACUAGCUGUUUGCGAUACAGUGUAA
rnacentral:rRNA from 1 species